GAACAACGCAAUAUUUUAGAAAGUUACUACGAAAGGGGGAUGACAGGAGCAGGAAUCCUUCAUGCUGAAGCAAUAAAAAAUGCUUCGGAUGAGGCAGUAAUUACAGUUGACCAAGUUAAGAAAUGGAUUGCUAAUAAUAACAAGAAGAUCAGCAUUAAUCCAAACGAGGAAGCGGCGUCCUCCUCUUUGACCACUUCUACGAAAAUUCCCUCAGGUAUAGGGUUUAUUUGGAUUAAUUUUCCCAACGUGUAACCCUUUAAAAGUGCAGAGAUACCGCUGAUCACAAAGGGACACUUCAUGGACCCUCACAUGAAGGGAUACCGCUGACCGGGGGUGAGAGGAUCCGCCAUUUUGUUUUAAGUUAAGUGAUCAUGUCGGGACAUUUGACAGUAUAGUCGUUUCAUUUAUACGUUUAUAUCGUUUGUACUUCAUUGUACAAGAUUAUUGUAAGUAAUCCUUCCAUUUUACCUAGAGUUAGGUUCCAUUUAAUUGUGAUUUCCGCCUUAAUGCUUUCCAUUCUACCUCAGGAACAUUCUUUCAUCGUUGUCAUUAAAAGUAUUUCGGACGAUCGAGGAGUGUUUUUUCUUGAUGAAAGAAUCUUCAAUAAAACAUGGCAGUAGUCGAAUGUUCUGUCCCAAGUUGUGACUUCAAAACUACUGAUGUCAGUGAAACCCUGGCAAUUGCUCUUCUUGCUAAUCAUGGUUUGGCCCAUCAAAGCACAGCACCUACCAUUGCCGGGCCCAUACCAGAACCAGCUCCUCGCGGACCUAAACUAGAUCGGACUAAAGUGAAUGUUGGAGUCUCUACAGAGUAGUGGAAUGUGUUCAUACGUCGAUGGGAAGUCUUCCGCACAGGUUCAGGCAUAUAGAUGCAGCCUCAGCACCCUCACAGCUAUUUCAAUGUGCUGGACCAGAGCUAGGAGAUAGCAUCCUGAAAGUCAACACAAAUGCCGCCUCAGGCACUCUCACGCAACUGCUCGACACCAUGCGCUCUCUAGCAGUCAUCCCCAUAGCCACUUGAGUCCUACGCACAGAGCUACUCCAGCUACGACAAGAAAGAGACGAAACCUUCCGAGCCUUAACAGCGAGAGUGCGUGGGAAAGCCGAAACAUGCGACCUCACCACAGAAUGCGAGAAACCAUGUCAUACAUAUAUUGACAAAAUACCGCUCGCUCAAACAGCCAAUCAGAACGCACGAGU